GGAUCUACCCAAGCGUGGGGGAUAACGUAGGGAAACUUACGCUAAUACCGCAUACGUCCUAAGGGAGAAAGCGGGGGACCGAAAGGCCUCGCGCGGUUGGACGAACCGAUGUGCGAUUAGCUAGUUGGUAGGGUAAUGGCCUACCAAGGCGACGAUCGCUAGCUGGUCUGAGAGGAUGAUCAGCCACACUGGAACUGAGACACGGUCCAGACUCCUACGGGAGGCAGCAGUGGGGAAUAUUGGACAAUGGGCGCAAGCCUGAUCCAGCAAUGCCGCGUGUGUGAAGAAGGCCUUCGGGUUGUAAAGCACUUUUAUCAGGAGCGAAAUACUACUGGCUAAUAACCGGUGGGGCUGACGGUACCUGAGGAAUAAGCACCGGCUAACUUCGUGCCAGCAGCCGCGGUAAUACGAAGGGUGCAAGCGUUAAUCGGAAUUACUGGGCGUAAAGCGUGCGUAGGCGGUUAUUUAAGUCUGUUGUGAAAUCCCCGGGCUCAACCUGGGAAUGGCAAUGGAUACUGGAUAGCUAGAGUGUGAUAGAGGAUGGUGGAAUUCCCGGUGUAGCGGUGAAAUGCGUAGAGAUCGGGAGGAACAUCAGUGGCGAAGGCGGCCAUCUGGAUCAACAC
rnacentral:rRNA from 1 species